GCCAAUGUAGCUCAGCGGUAGAGCGCCGCGUUGAAGACGCGGGCGUCGGUGGUUCGAUUCCAUCCCUUGGCACCA
rnacentral:tRNA from 1 species